rnacentral:rRNA from 1 species
AUAAUACUCCAUAGAUUAGAGACACUGGAAUGUUCUUUAGUCGAAAGUUCUGGCGCCUUAGGAUGGAUCUGCGGUCGAUUAGGUUGUUGUUGGGGUAACGGCCCAACAAGCCUGUAAUCGAUACGGGUUGUGGGAGCAAGAGCCCGGAGAUGGAAUCUGAGACACGAUUCCAGGCCCUACGGGGCGCAGCAGGCGCGAAAACUUUACAAUGCAGGAAACUGUGAUAAGGGAACUCCGAGUGCCCGUAUACGCGGGCUGUCCAGGUGUUUAAAAAUCAUCUGAAGAAAGGGCCGGGCAAGACCGGUGCCAGCCGCCGCGGUAAUACCGGCGGCUCGAGUGGUGGCCACUAUUAUUGGGCUUAAAGCGUCCGUAGCUGGACCGAUAAGUCUCUUGGGAAAUCCGCCGGCUCAACCGGCGGGCGUCUAAGGGAUACUGUUAGUCUAGGGACCGGGAGAGGUGAGAGGUACUCCGGGGGUAGGAGUGAAAUCCUGUAAUCCCCGGGGGACCACCGAUGGCGAAGGCAUCUCACCAGAACGGCUCCGACAGUGAGGGACGAAAGCUGGGGGAACGAACCGGAUUAGAUACCCGGGUAGUCCCAUCCGUAAACUAUGCGCGUUAUGUGU